UACGGAGGGAGCUAGCGUUAUUCGGAAUUACUGGGCGUAAAGCGCACGUAGGCGGCUUUGUAAGUUAGAGGUGAAAGCCCGGAGCUCAACUCCGGAACUGCCUUUAAGACUGCAUCGCUUGAAUCCAGGAGAGGUGAGUGGAAUUCCGAGUGUAGAGGUGAAAUCGUAGAUAUUCGGAAGAACACCAGUGGCGAAGGCGG
rnacentral:rRNA from 1 species